rnacentral:rRNA from 1 species
AGUGAACGCUGGCGGUAGGCCUAACACAUGCAAGUCGAACGGCAGCACAGUAAGAGCUUGCUCUUACGGGUGGCGAGUGGCGGACGGGUGGGGAAUACAUCGGAAUCUACUUUUUCGUGGGGGAUAACGUAGGGAAACUUACGCUAAUACCGCAUACGACCUACGGGUGAAAGCAGGGGAUCUUCGGACCUUGCGCGAUUGAAUGAGCCGAUGUCGGAUUAGCUAGUUGGCGGGGUAAAGGCCCACCAAGGCGACGAUCCGUAGCUGGUCUGAGAGGAUGAUCAGCCACACUGGAACUGAGACACGGUCCAGACUCCUACGGGAGGCAGCAGUGGGGAAUAUUGGACAGUGGGCGCAAGCCUGAUCCAGCCAUACCGCGUGGGUGAAGAAGGCCUUCGGGUUGUAAAGCCCUUUUGUUGGGAAAGAAAAGCAGCAGGUUAAUACCCCGCUGUUCUGACGGUACCCAAAGAAUAAGCACCGGCUAACUUCGUG